AGAGUUCGAUCCUGGCUCAGGAUGAACGCUGGCGGCGUGCCUAACACAUGCAAGUCGAACGAGAUGCGUAUUGGAAAGCUUCGGCCGGAAGAUGCGUUAUCUAGUGGCGGACGGGUGAGUAACACGUGGGUAACCUGCCUUAUGGAGGGGGAUAACAGAGAGAAAUCACUGCUAAUACCGCAUAAGCACACAUUGCCGCAUGGCAGAGUGUGAAAAGAUUUAUCGCCAUAAGAUGGACCCGCGUCUGAUUAGCCAGUUGGCAGGGUAAAAGCCUACCAAAGCAACGAUCAGUAGCCGAUCUGAGAGGAUGACCGGCCACAUUGGGACUGAGACACGGCCCAAACUCCUACGGGAGGCAGCAGUGGGGAAUAUUGCACAAUGGGGGAAACCCUGAUGCAGCGACGCCGCGUGAGUGAAGAAGUAUUUCGGUAUGUAAAGCUCUAUCAGCAGGGAAGAUAAUGACAGUACCUGACUAAGAAGCCCCGGCUAACUACGUGCCAGCAGCCGCGGUAAUACGUAGGGGGCAAGCGUUAUCCGGAUUUACUGGGUGUAAAGGGAGCGUAGACGGAAUGGCAAGUCUGAAGUGAAAACCCCGGGCUCAACCUGGGGACUGCUUUGGAAACUGUUGUUCUAGAGUGUUGGAGAGGUAAGUGGAAUUCCUGGUGUAGCGGUGAAAUGCGUAGAUAUCAGGAAGAACACCGGAGGCGAAGGCGGCUUACUGGACAAUAACUGACGUUGAGGCUCGAAAGCGUGGGGAUCAAACAGGAUUAGAUACCCUGGUAGUCCACGCUGUAAACGAUGAAUACUAGGUGUCGGGGUGCAAAGCAUCUCGGUGCCGUCGCUAACGCAAUAAGUAUUCCACCUGGGGAGUACGUUCGCAAGAAUGAAACUCAAAGGA
rnacentral:rRNA from 1 species